CCUACGGGAGGCAGCAGUGGGGAAUAUUGGACAAUGGGGGCAACCCUGAUCCAGCCAUGCCGCGUGUGUGAAGAAGGCCCUCGGGUUGUAAAGCACUUUCAGUGAGGAAGAACGCCUGGUGGUUAAUACCCAUCAGGAAAGACAUCACUCACAGAAGAAGCACCGGCUAACUCCGUGCCAGCAGCCGCGGUAAUUCGGAGGGUGCGAGCGUUAAUCGGAAUUACUGGGCGUAAAGCGCGCGUAGGUGGCUUGAUAAGCCGGUUGUGAAAGCCCCGGGCUCAACCUGGGAACGGCAUCCGGAACUGUCAAGCUAGAGUGCAGGAGAGGAAGGUAGAAUUCCCGGUGUAGCGGUGAAAUGCGUAGAGAUCGGGAGGAAUACCAGUGGCGAAGGCGGCCUUCUGGACUGACACUGACACUGAGGUGCGAAAGCGUGGGUAGCAAACAGGAUUAGAUACCCUAGUAGUC
rnacentral:rRNA from 1 species